UACGUAGGGGGCAAGCGUUGUCCGGAUUUAUUGGGCGUAAAGCGCUCGCAGGUGGUUCGAUGCGUCGUGCGUGAAAGACCCUGGCUCAACUGGGAGGUGUCGUGCGAUACGGUCGGACUGGAGGCCAGUAGGGGGAUGCGGAAUUCCGGGUGUAGUGGUGGAAUGCGUAGAGAUCCGGAGGAACACCAGCGGCGAAGGCGGCAUCCUGGACUGGUCCUGACACUCAUGAGCGAAAGCGUGGAGCGAUCCGG
rnacentral:rRNA from 1 species